rnacentral:rRNA from 1 species
GACGAACGCUGGCGGCGUGCUUAACACAUGCAAGUCGAACGCUGAAGACCUGGCUUUUGUUGGGUUGGAUGAGUGGCGAACGGGUGAGUAACACGUGAGUAACCUGCCCUCUUCUUUGGGAUAACGCCCGGAAACGGGUGCUAAUACUGGAUAUUCACUGGCCUUCGCAUGGGGGUUGGUGGAAAGGUUUGUUCUGGUGGGGGAUGGGCUCGCGGCCUAUCAGCCUGUUGGUGGGGUGAUGGCCUACCAAGGCUUUGACGGGUAGCCGGCCUGAGAGGGUGACCGGUCACAUUGGGACUGAGAUACGGCCCAGACUCCUACGGGAGGCAGCAGUGGGGAAUAUUGCACAAUGGGCGAAAGCCUGAUGCAGCGACGCCGCGUGAGGGAUGGAGGCCUUCGGGUUGUAAACCUCUUUCGCUCAUGGUCAAGCCGCAACUGUGGGUUGUGGUGAGGGUAGUGGGUAAAGAAGCGCCGGCUAACUACGUG